rnacentral:rRNA from 1 species
CCUACGGGUGGCUGCAGUGGGGGAUAUUGGACAAUGGAGGGAACUCUGAACCAGCGACGCCGCGUGAGUGAAGAAGUAUCUCUGUAUGGAAAGCUCUAUUUACAGGGGAGAAGAAUUUACCGUACCUGAGUUAGAAUCCCCGGCUAACUACGUGCCAGCAGCCGCCGUCAUGCGGAGGGGGCAAGCGUUAUCCGGAAUUACUGGGUGUAAAGGGAGCGUAGGCGGUGAUGUAAGUCUGGAGUGAAAGGUGGGGGCUCAACCACCGGAUUGCACUGGAAACUAUGUGACUGGAGUGCAGGAGAGGUGAGCGGAAUUCGUAGUGUAGCGGUGAAAUGCGUAGAUAUUACGAGGAACACCAGUGGCGAAGGCGGCUCACUGGACUGUAACUGACGUUGAGGCUCGAAAGUGUGGGGAGCAAACAGGAUUAGAUACCCGAGUAGUC